GGAUUCGAGCCCCCAAUGGAUGGACACCACUUGCUGAGACCAGCUCGGUCAGGGAGGCCCUAACCCAGCGGCACUAGAGGAAUUAAAGACACACACACAUAAAUAUAGAGUAACAUAGAAUGUUGAUUGUCCUGAGUUCCAGAGCCUCAAAGAGCACCCAGCAUAACUGUGGGAGAAUAGUAAGCAUUGGACACAAAAUGGUUUAGGCAAAUAAUGAUGAACAAAAAUGGUCAGUCUGUGUUCCUGCUGACCCAGCACAGUGGGGACGCUGUGUAGGACAUGACCUUUGGGGGAAAGGACACAAGAACUCAGCGUGGGGGAUCCAGAAAAGAAGUCGCACGUAUUGAAGCCAGUAACGCCAAGCCAGUGAAUUCUCCUUGACGAGAAAGACCCACUUACUCUGCAGAAGAGAUAUAUGACAGCUGACAAUCCCUGGAGGAGAAUCUUUCUACUAAAUUGGUAAGGGAUGCUAAGCAAAUGAUGUGGACUCAGGAAACAACGCAUUUCAUGAUAUACGGUUGCCUCUCAAGGUGAAUUCGAGACCCCUCUUGAAUUACAAAGAGUUGAAAACAUUCAAGUACGGAAUAAACUAUUACUGCGAAUACGCUCAUAUGACACAAGAACAAUCUCUGAGCUUCUUUGAGGAUGUCCAGAUGACUGCUGACUGCACUAAUUGCAUCAAUCGUGUAUCCAUACAGGUUCUUUCUAUAAAAUAGUGGUCGCUAGUUAUGAGGCGUUAAGCCUUCAUGGAUAUAAACAGACUAUUCCACCUAAGUGAUCUGGCAGAAGCUUAGUUUUCUACCACAACAUCCACCGUCCUCCCUCCCUCCCUUCCUAGCUGGUCAGAAAAGCUACUCAGAAUAAAGACUACAUUUCCCAGCCAUCUUUGCAGCUAGGUUUAUCCACCUGACUAAAUUCCACCGGCAUCUAUUCAACGAAGACGAAUCCUGGAAUGGGGAUGGAAAUGAUGGCUCAUGUCUUAGCAAACUACCAAACUGAUCCGAGAGGACAGGGAAGUCAGUGUGGGCGGCUCUAAGGAGCCUCCCUCUCUACAGCUGCGGCUCAGAGGAUUACGGCGCUUCAUCCACAAGGCAACAUUGCACAAGUAGCUUUUGAACAAAAGUCAUGGAUACUAUUAAUGAUAUGGUAAUCCUUAAUCGAGCUACCUCCCAGUAGUGAUUAUACUGACAUGGGAAGAAUAUCUAAGUCGUGGAGGCAGCCCACAACAACACUGUGUCAUUGUUCACCCCGGGCUCGACCAGGACUAACUUUUACCAGCAUCUCUAACGUCACCUUUCCCCUGAUGCCUCCCCACAACCCCUGGCCCCAGCUCCCAUUCCCGCCCCAUCAUAGCAAAAAAGUAGCAAAGAAAACCCUGAUCCUAAAUCUUUUUCUGGAUUUUUUUUUGCAAGUUCCCACACACAUUUAGUGUCGUCUCAAAAUUCACGCUGUCAACUGUCUCUAGGAAUCAUUUCCAUCUGAGAACAGACCACACAAAGACACAGUGAAACUCAGUUUCUGCAGAAUUUGAUUUCAUUUGAGUUACUGGGGAACAAAGCAAUUAGACAAUGAAUAAUAGCUCAAGACAGGCUGAAGCUGAAGAUUUCUGCAAAAGAAUGAAGAGGAAACGUUUUGAUCCUGAGCAGAUGUUCUCCCUAGAUUGCUUCACCUGAGGUUGAUUGACUUUUGGAAACGAGAUUUGUUCCCAGUGCUUUGUGAGUCUCUUGUUGGAAGGACUGUCUUUAAAUUAAAGCAAUUAGAGUUACUUUAUAAGAUUUACCCAAAUAUAAGAGCUGAAGAGAAUAAUUCAAAUUGAUCAGAAGAAAAUACUCAAUUACUGACAAAUGUCAAUUACAUCAAUAGCCUAGGCUGCUCUUGAACUCCUGGGCUCAAACGAUCCUCCCCUGUCGGCCUCCCAAAGUGCUGGGAUUACAAGCUUGAACCACCAUGCCCAGCCUCAGAAAUUUUUUAAAUGACAGCUCAUACAGUUUUCUUUUAUAAAGGAGGAGAAAAUGUGUAAUUGUAAGCAGCUGAACUAAAAUAUCUCUGUGACAUUUUGCUGGUGACUCCAGCCCUGUGAGAUCUGAGUGGCUCAGGAAUCAAAUUCUCCCACAAACCUGAGGAAGCCUUUUAUUCUUAAUGCCAACAGGAUGCCCCAUGCCCAGAAUGUCAAAUCUGAACACCAAUGGAAUGCAUUUUAUAAACAAAUUGAAAAAGGACAAUCUUUAACAGAAUUGUUGUUCUCUAGGCAGAUUAGUUGUGCUUCAAAUACAAAAUGAAAUAUUAGAGAACAAAAUUAUUUUUAAACAGCUAAUACUAGUAGAAAAUAAAAGGCUGAAAAGUGC
ensembl:lncRNA LINC02436 long intergenic non-protein coding RNA 2436